UACGAAGGGGGCUAGCGUUGCUCGGAAUCACUGGGCGUAAAGGGUGCGUAGGCGGGUCUUUUAAGUCAGGGGUGAAAUCCUGGAGCUCAACUCCAGAACUGCCUUUGAUACUGAAGAUCUUGAGUUCGGGAGAGGUGAGUGGAACUGCGAGUGUAGAGGUGAAAAUUCGUAGAUAUUCGCAAGAACACCAGUGGCGAAGGCGGCUCACUGGCCCGAUACUGACGCUGAGGCACGAAAGCGUGGGGAGCAAACGGG
rnacentral:rRNA from 1 species